rnacentral:lncRNA from 1 species
UGUUCACUGUAUAAGUUAUUCAUAUUUGCAAAAUAAGGAAAAAUCCAAAAGAACCGCUUGACAAAGACUAUCUUGCCGGCCCCAGAGCUGAGUCUUCGGUAGUCUGUUCCAUAGUUUAUGAAGCCAGCUGCUUCUGGUUGAUGGUUAGACCAUGACUUGUGUGGACACGAGCCUACUGCCAUACUUAAUUUGCCAAUAAAUGUGAUCUCUGGACAGAGGUAUUGUGUGUUGGUAAAUAACUGCAAUAGAUAAAGUCUCUGUAAAUCUUCAUUUUCCAGGAGAAGUGUUGUGAGCAGGAAGGCAAACUUGUGUCAUAAUGUCCAUUUCUUUUUUUCUUUUUUUUUUUUAAGAUUUUAUUAUUUUACUCAGAGAGGCACAGAGAGAGAGAGGCAGAGACAUGGGGAAGAGGGAGAACAGGCGUCCCAUAAAUGUCCAUUUCAUGGUCAGUUUUUGAUAUCUGGAAGUAUGAGUCUUCCUUAUUUGUUCUUCUUUUCCAAGAUGGUUUUGUCUAUUAAUGUCCCUUGUGAUUCCAAACAACUGGUGCCAGUUGUAUCAUUUGUUGCAAAGAUUUUCCUUUGGCCACUGAUUUGCCUUUGCUCUUUUGUCAAGGAUCAGCUGACCCGUCUGUGCAAGUGUUAUUUCUGGGCUAUCGAUUCUGUCCUACUGACUGUUGUUUCAUCAAUAUCACACCGUUUAGUUACCCAUAGGUUAAUUAAUUACUAUAGAUUUUUUAUAUGUAGCACUCUUUUCAUUGUGGGGUUAUGUAGUUGGGACCAAAGGAUUUUAUUCUUGUUUGCAAGCUUGGACCUUAUUAACUAUAGCUCAGGAAAGAAUUGAGCAUCAGAAUAAACCUGGAUUAACUCUACCUUAGAUUUUUAUAACAUAUAGGUAGUUUAGAAAAAUCAGAUAAAAGUUGAUUGUGAAUUAAUAAGAUUUUAUAAACACUGGAAAUAUGCAGAUUAAGUGGCUAAAACUUUUUCCAAUUGACAGAUUGAUUUUUAGAGCAUUUUUAUGUUUACAGAAAA